GCAAGUCGAGCGAGCUGAAUUCAAAGAGUUCCUUCGGGAUGAUUUGUUGGAUGCUAGCGGCGGAUGGGUGAGUAACACGUGGGCAAUCUGCCCUAAAGACUGGGAUACCACUUGGAAACAGGUGCUAAUACCGGAUAACAACAUGAAUCGCAUGAUUCAAGUUUGAAAGGCGGCGUAAGCUGUCACUUUAGGAUGAGCCCGCGGCGCAUUAGCUAGUUGGUGGGGUAAAGGCCUACCAAGGCAAUGAUGCGUAGCCGAGUUGAGAGACUGAUCGGCCACAUUGGGACUGAGACACGGCCCAAACUCCUACGGGAGGCAGCAGUAGGGAAUCUUCCACAAUGGGCGCAAGUCUGAUGGAGCAACGCCGCGUGAGUGAAGAAGGUUUUCGGAUCGUAAAGCUCUGUUGUUGGUGAAGAAGGAUAGAGGCAGUAACUGGUCUUUAUUUGACGGUAAUCAACCAGAAAGUCACGGCUAACUACGUG
rnacentral:rRNA from 1 species